rnacentral:rRNA from 1 species
CUUGGUCAUUUAGAGGAGUAAAAGUCGUAACAAGGUUUCCGUAGGUGAACCUGCGGAAGGAUCAUUAUCGAAAUUAUUGGUGAGGGUUGUAGCUGGCCUUUCGAGGCAUGUGCACGCUCGAGCCCUUAAUCCACUUUACACCUGUGCACUUAAUGUAGGUCGCCCUUAAAAAAGGUGACCUAUGUCUUAUCAUCAACCCAUCGUAUGUCUCAUAGAAUGUAAUCGAUAUCCUCGCCCUAAAAAAGCGUUGAUAAACUUAUACAACUUUCAACAACGGAUCUCUUGGCUCUCGCAUCGAUGAAGAACGCAGCGAAAUGCGAUAAGUAAUGUGAAUUGCAGAUUUUCAGUGAAUCAUCGAAUCUUUGAACGCACCUUGCGCUCCUUGGUAUUCCGAGGAGCAUGCCUGUUUGAGUGUCAUUAAAUUCUCAACUCCAAGGGUUUCACGACCUUUCGGAGAUUGGACUUGGAGGUGCUGGCCGCAUAUUGGUCGGCUCCUCUCAAAUGCAUCAGCGGAAUUCAACCUUUGGCUUCCGGAUGUCAGUGUGAUAAUCAUGUUGCGCUGUCGUUUGAUCCCUCAGAGUCCGCUUAUAAUGGUCUUCGGACAAAAUCAUCAUCAAAUUUGACCUCAAAUCACGUAGGACUACCCGCUGAACUUAAGCAUAUCAAUAAGCGGAGGA